UACGUAGGGUGCAAGCGUUGUCCGGAAUUAUUGGGCGUAAAGAGCUCGUAGGCGGUUUGACGCGUCUGCUGUGAAAUCCCGAGGCUCAACCUCGGGUCUGCAGUGGGUACGGGCAGACUAGAGUGCGGUAGGGGAGAUUGGAACUCCUGGUGUAGCGGUGGAAUGCGCAGAUAUCAGGAAGAACACCGAUGGCGAAGGCAGAUCUCUGGGCCGUAACUGACGCUGAGGAGCGAAAGCAUGGGGAGCGAACAGG
rnacentral:rRNA from 1 species